rnacentral:tRNA from 1 species
GCUUUUAAUGGAUAAUAGUUAUCCUCUGGUCUUAGGCGCCAGCCUCCUUGGUGCAAGUCCAAGUAAAAGCU